rnacentral:rRNA from 1 species
GGAUUCAUACAAGCGGUGGAGCAUGUGGUUUAAUUCGAUAAUACGCGCAAAACCUUACCAACCCUUGACAUAUGUAAGUAUAUUUAUAUUUUAUUUUCAAACUUAUAUACAGGUGUUGCAUGGCUGUCGUCAGCUCGUGUCGUGAGAUGUUAGGUUAAGUCCUUAAACGAGCGCAACCUUUAUUCUUAGUUACUUAAAAAUUUAAUAGUAAAUUUUUUGCUCUAAGAAAACUGUCGGCGAAGAGUCGAAGGAAGGUGGAGAUGAAGUCAAGUAAUCAUGGCCCUUAUGGGUUGGGCUACACACGUGCUACAAUGGUAAUGACAAUAAGAAGCGAAAGCGUGAGCUGGAGCAAAUCUCUAAACAUUAUCUCAGUUCGGAUUGUAGGCUGCAAUUCGCCUACAUGAAGUUGGAAUCGCUAGUAA